UGGGGAAUAUUGCACAAUGGGGGGAACCCUGAUGCAGCAAUGCCGCGUGGGUGAAGAAGCACUCCGGUGCGUAAAGCCCUGUCAGCAGGGAAGAAAAUGACAGUACCUGACCAAGAAGCCCCGGCUAACUACGUGCCAGCAGCCGCGGUAAUACGUAGGGGGCAAGCGUUAUCCGGAUUUACUGGGUGUAAAGGGAGCGCAGGCGGUAUGGCAAGUCAGAUGUGAAAACCCAGUGCUCAACCCUGGGACUGCAUUUGAAACUGCCAUACUGGAGUGCCGGAGAGGUAAGUGGAAUUCCUAGUGUAGCGGUGAAAUGCGGAGAUAUUAGGAGGAACACCAGUGGCGAAGGCGGCUUACUGGACGGUAACUGACGCUGAGGCUCGAAAGCGUGGGGAGCAAA
rnacentral:rRNA from 1 species